CUAAAUGUAUCAGUGAUUCCUGAAAUGUAUCAGUAAUUUGAAACUUAUGAAGAUAUUUGAAGCUUACUUUUAUUUUAUUACAUCUAAUUUAAAAUGUGUAUAUAUAUAUAUUCUUGCUAAGAUGAUAUUUUCAAAUGGAUCUAUUGAACGUGACUACACUGAAUUUGAAUUUCUGUUGAAGAAAAUUUGCUCCAAUCUAGCGUUUCUGAAAAUGUUACCAUCGAGAAACUCGAUACUCCUGUCAUUUUUGUGGAAAAUGCUUUCGAAAAAUGCAAAAUUUAAAGCAGCAUUACAUUGUACAUUCUUCCAGAGAUCAUGUAUGCCCAUUAUGUUCCAAAGCAUAUAAAUCACGAGCUGUAUUAAAUUUACAUCUCCAGGUUCAUGCACCUGAUAGCUUCCAGUGUGAUUAUUGUGACAAAACAUUUAGGUGGAGAUGGAGUUGGAAGAUGCAUAUAAAAAAGAUGCAUUCUUAAGCUAUUUUAAGAAAGGAUAUCAUAUAUGUCAUCUUUGUGGUAAGCAUUUCAAGAAGUUGCAAUAUUUAAAGCAGCAUUAUGUUGUUCAUUCUGCCAGGCAACAUGUGUGUCCAUUGUGUUCUAAGGCAUACAAGUCUCGAGCUGUAUUAAAUGUACAUUUACAAGCACAUGCUCCUGAUAAUUUUCAAUGUUGUUAUUGUAAGAAAACUUUUCGGUGGAGGUGGAGUUGGAAGAUGCAUGUGAAAAGAUGUUCUAAAGAAAUAAUUUCUACAAAUUUAAAUUAAGAUAAGAAUCUCUUACAUUUUUUUUUUGACAUUUUCCUUUUUUUCAUAGUUGUAACAUGAAAAAUUACAGAAUUUUAUUGAAAACAUGAUUUUAAAUUAGAACAAUAUUAGAAAGAACACACAUAUAUCAUCUGCUAAUAGACAAGUUUUUCAUCUGGAGACUUCAUAUUCUUUUCAAAGAAAAAUGUUCAACUUUGUACAGUGAACUGCAAGAUUUUGCCCUGUUCCAAUUGUGGUUAUGAUAAGAAAUCACACUACGCAUGUCAGAUUUGUGGUAAACGUUUUCAGAAAUGGAAGUAUUUAAAACAACAUUUCAUUGUUCAUUCAGGAAGAAAUUACAUCUGUUCAAUAUGUUCUAAAGCAUACAAGUCUCGUGCUGUUUUAAAUCAACAUCUUCGAAUGCACGCCCCUGAUAAUUUUUGUUGUGCACAUUGUGGUGAAACUUUUAGGUGGCGUUGCAGUUGGAGAAUUCAUAUGAGAAAAAUGCAUCAAUAAAACAGAAUUUAAUAGAAAAUGCCAAAGUACCAAUUUAGUGAAAGUAUUUGUGAUUUGCUAAAAAUUUGUAUAUCAGAAAAAUUUGCUACAUUAUCAUUACAGCUGAGAGACAUUUUAGUAUUUUUGGAUUAUUAGUCAUGUAAAAAAAAACUAAUAUAUAACUUUUUGUGAAUUUGUGAAUGUGUGAUGAUUUUAUUGGAAGUGUAAUUAUUUAAUUUA